AUUGAACGCUGGCGGCAGGCCUAACACAUGCAAGUCGAGCGGAUGAGAGGAGCUUGCUCUUUGAUUCAGCGGCGGACGGGUGAGUAAUGCCUAGGAAUCUGCCUGGUAGUGGGGGACAACGUUUCGAAAGGAACGCUAAUACCGCAUACGUCCUACGGGAGAAAGUGGGGGAUCUUCGGACCUCACGCUAUCAGAUGAGCCUAGGUCGGAUUAGCUAGUUGGUGAGGUAAUGGCUCACCAAGGCGACGAUCCGUAACUGGUCUGAGAGGAUGAUCAGUCACACUGGAACUGAGACACGGUCCAGACUCCUACGGGUGGCAG
rnacentral:rRNA from 1 species